AGGAGCGACGGCAGAAAGGAGUAUAGGGGAGAUGCAUGAAAGUGAAGAGGAAGAGAGAAGAUAUUUCGGUGCCUUGUUCGUCGAACAACCAAGGUAGGUCGCAGCGAGGCUAGCCCUUAGUAGGUUGGGUAAAGAAGUGUAGUUAAAACUGCAGUGGAUCACCUUGUCGAGGGUAAGAGUAGUUUAUACUCCAAAUCCCUAUAUCUAAGUUAAUAUAAUUGAUUUAAACCUAUCCUUUUGAUAUAAGAUUGUGAUCUUGAUGAUUGUGUGAAUAUCAUUAAUAAUUUUGUGAUGAAUGGGUGAAAUAUGAAGUUGUUGGAUGUUUGAAGUGAUGAUGUCGGCUGGGAUAAAAAAUAUUCAAUUAGGGUUUUCAAGGUUGAAGACGAUAGAAGGGGUCAGUGUGGUGGGUCGGGUUGAUGUACCCGUGAGGUCCAGGACUUAGUUUCCAUUAGCCCGAGCCCGAGUUCAUAUGGAUAUCUAGUUGGGUUUAGUAAAUAAAUAAAGGAGGAAAAUGAAGUAAAAAAUAACAAUAAUAAUAUUGUAACCAAAGAGAGGUCAGGCAGACCAAGCUCAUAAGAGAAACGGGCUCAGUGAGGAGAUUAAGAUUUUAAGUGGGUUGGGUUUCAAUGGUUGAAGGGAAUUAAAGAAAAAAGAAGGGGCCCUAAUACGGUGGGCCGAGCCAGUAGGAAGAAUAAAAAGGGAAUCCAGUUGAAAAGGAAAAAAAUAAUUUUAUUACCCCAAGAGAAAUUUAAACACUAGUGGGCUGAGCUUCCAUAAAAUGGGUUAGGCAUUGAAAGUGGGCUAGCUGAGGGAAAGAAAA